UUGUCCUCACACAUACCUGCAGCUCUCAUUACAUCCACAACAAGAUCGAGCCAGCUCAAAAUUUCACCAUGAAAGAGGGAAGGGGUUGUGAAGCUCCACCCCUACCUGAGGAGUUAUUGGCAGCUGGUGGCUACAGGGAGCGUUUUACACUGGACAGGGGGUUAUUUCCAAUGAAAAAAAAGACCAGAGAACACUUCAUCCCAAGUCACUGACGACCAGAAACUUGUGUUUCAGAACAACAGUAACAAGAUGUAUAUAUGGAGGUGUGAAUUCCACUUCUAGAAUUAACUAGGUAAG
rnacentral:lncRNA from 1 species